ensembl:lncRNA LINC00499 long intergenic non-protein coding RNA 499
GGACAGGGCAGCUUAGGGGAAUAAGUCUCUGCAGCGUUGUAGUGAAGAGAGAAUACGGGACAACUGCAGGACCACAGCUCAGCCAAGACACAACCACAUGACUGAAGACAGAGAUCAUCUGGGCUCCCUUGCAGCUGAGUUGGCCAUAUGACUGACAGCAAGCCCUGGAAUGCAGCCAGAAGUGAUAGAAGCCUCUUUCACACCAUGCUCCUAAAAUAUUCCAAGAAAUUUUCCAAACCUACUCUUUUUAGUCUGUGCAUCUGGAAGUGAAAGUUUUAGAAAGGGUAAAGUCACUUAAUGGAAAGGGCCCAGAUCUAGCCCCUCGGAGCCAAGCUGUCCAACUAGAAAUUCUGCAUUAGUAUUUGCGAGUCGCAAAUAGUCUGUCAUGGAGUUUAGAUUGUGAGUCUCCCUGCUAGAAGAUGGGUCGCAAUUGGAAGAGCGCUUUAUAUUCCCUGCGCCACUGCCAAAUGAUCCUAGAGGUUAACAGAAAACAGCAAUGGGGCUUCCAAAGACAAGGACUGAAUCAUAUACUUGCCCCAGUAAAAAAAAAAAAGUCCCACAAAGAUGUAGGAUCUCACUUUGCCUGCGUUAAUUCCCUGUCCUUUGCCCAGUUUCUCCUCUCUUGGAAGGCAGAGGCAGCUUCUGAUUUUGAUCACUUCAUGUCCAGGUAAGCAGCGCUGGGAAGCACAUGGGGGGAGGUCAUUGAAGAGAAGAGCUACCAUGCUUCCAGCUUCACUCAGGACACAGACUGCAAAGGCUCAAUUGUCCAGAACAAAACAAUCUUGAUCUGAAGCUUGACAAUCCCUAUUUGCAGAACACUUACUGGCAUUAGCUGAACAUUUGCUUUUCUUUAAAACCUUUCUCCCUGGAAACGUCACAUGCAGGGUAGCUCACCUCUGUCAUGGGAAUGGCACCUCCUGUAGUUGAGGUGAAAACUGGAAAGAUGAAAAAACUGGCCUGUUCUUAACCUGAACUUCCAUGAACGCUUGGGAGCAUUCAAUAAGGUACUCCAAAGCCUAAGUGAAGGAUGAGUGGAGAGGCAAGAUAAAAAUGUGGUUAUUCUUAUGACUUAAUAUCUUGGAAAACUCAGAUCUGUUGGUGCUUGAUUUAUUUGCAGAUUUCUAUAAUGUGAGAAAACUAAGCAGAGCUCACAGGAUUAACAUUUCUCUAUUUUUAGUACACACAUACACAUAAAGCACAGUUACUCAAUGACCAAGGAGAAAACUUCCAAAAAA